CUUCACCAGGCCCAGUCUCUUUCCACUUGUUCAAAGGAGGUUAUUAGGCCCUAGACAUUUCAUUGUUUGAUCUCAUGUGUAUUUUAUUUCCAAUUCCAUCUAUUGAACUACAUUUAUCUGUUAAUGUGAAUAACGUCCUGCAUUCCAACCGCAACGACAUUUUUAGAAAUUGGGUUACAGCCGAAAAAGAACGCGUGAAAUUAACCGCAAGUGCGGAAAGCGGAAGUGCUACUGCAAAUGGCGACGAGAACGGAAGUCGAGGUGGAAGUCGAGGUGGCCGUGACGGUUGAAGUGGCGAACGCCAUCAAGAAUCGGCCGCCACGUACGUCCUCGGGCGCAUUGAAUCCGGGCUCGAUCACAACCGGAACGGCCGUCAUUUGACGAGCGACACGGGCCGGUUCCACUGGAUGCUCGAUCCUAUAUCAUUCCAUUUCAAAGGUAAAUUAUAAUUUUGUUUACAUUAUUCCUGAUUGAAUUGUGAUUUCAUACUCUUUAGGUUUUGGCAGAAAUGCUGUGCCUUCUUCGCUUUCCGGCUCGUUGUCGUCGUAAUAAAGUCCACGUCCGGGUUUGUCGA